AUAGUACUCCAGCAAAAGCAGCUGAACUUGUAACAGUCACCAGCUGGCACACAUUGAAAUAGCUCAGCCUCAUUCUCCAGCUGAGAUCCAGCACAGCUGAUCUUGGUGUAGGGCAUAAAUCUGCAUAGAGCUCACAUGUGGCCCUUCUAUGCUGGGGGUAGAUGUACUCGAUCCUCUGGGCUUGGGAAGGUCUUGGCAAAUGUGGAUUUUUCUCCUUUUGCAGAGGCUUUUGGAGGUUCUGAAAAACCAGACAACAUCAGCUGCUGCACCUUUUGCCCCCUACAGGACACAGACACUGUCCAGGGCAAAGUGCAGCUGGAGCCUAGAGAAGGAUGCGCCUUCACCAGGGCAUUUACCAGCGCUGCUCAGAGCUUCAGCAAGACGGAAAAGCCCCCUGCAAAGCAAACCAAGGGCUGCCGUGGAGAAGAGAGAAGCAGAUUCAUGUGCCAGUUCCUUUUGCAUUCGGGGACAGAGAAGAUCCUGUUUUUUUCUUUUCUUCUCCAGCUUUGAUCAUUGCUUAGAUCUUGCUUUGCUGGCUGUCAUUCUCUGCCUUCUCUGAAUCACAAAAUGGUUACAAUUGGAAGGGACCUCUGGAAACCAUCCAUGCCAAGGCCCCUACACAAAACAGGGUCACCUAGAACAAGUUGCUCAAGGCAAUUACUGACUAGCUUUUUGAAUAUUUCUGAGUAUGGUGACUCGACACAUUCACUGCUCUGUACAGCAUCAUGAUUUUAAAUGAAAACCCAGACAGUUUUCUUUUUUUAUGCCAUGUUCAGAAUGUUUUCUCUCUCUAAUACAUACCCA
rnacentral:lncRNA from 1 species